rnacentral:rRNA from 1 species
ACGGAGGGUGCGAGCGUUGUCCGGAAUCACUGGGCGUAAAGGGCGCGUAGGCGGCGCGGUAAGCGUGCGGUGAAAGCCCGGGGCUCAACCCCGGGUCGGCCGUGCGGACUGCCGGGCUCGAGCACUGUAGAGGCGGGUGGAAUUCCGGGUGUAGCGGUGAAAUGCGCAGAUAUCAGGAGGAACACCGGUGGCGAAGGCGGUUCUCUGGGCAUUACCUGACGCUGAGGAGCGAAAGUGUGGGGAGCGAACAGGA